GUCUGGGUGGUGUAGUUGGUUAUCACGCUUGUCUCACACACUAGAGGUCCCCAGUUCGAACCUGGGCUCAGACA
rnacentral:tRNA from 1 species